rnacentral:rRNA from 1 species
CGUGAACGCUGGCGGCGGGCCUAAUACAUGCAAGUCGAGCGAACAGACUAUGAGCGUUUUCUUCUAGGGGUAGCGGCUGACGGGUGAGUGACGCGUGGAUAACCUACCUAUAAGACUGGGAGAACUUCGUGGAACCGCAUCUGAUACCGCCGAACAUGUUGAACGGCUUUGGGCAACAGUUAAAGACGGUUUGCCUGUCACUUAUAGCAGUAUCCGGGCCGUAUUAGCGAGUUGGUAAGGUAACGGCUUACCAAGGCAACGACGCGUAGCCGACCUGAGGGGGGGAUCCGCCACACUGGAACUGAGACACGGUCCAGACUCCUACGGGAGGCAGCAGUGGGGAAUAUUGCGCAAUGGGCGAAAGCCUGAUGCAGCCAUGCCGCGUGAGUGAAGAAGGUCUUCGGAUCGUAAAGCCCUGUUAUUGGGGAAGAACAACAGCGUAAGUAACCAUGGCCGUCCUGACGGUACCCAAACAGAAAGCACCGGCUAACUUCGUG